ensembl:lncRNA
UUAAGGGAGUGAAAGGGGGAACUCAGUGCACAUGACAUUGAUGGGCUGAGAAAAAUUCCUAUUUAGAAAUCUGAUGCAAAAGCCAAAGUCAUCGUUCUCAAAUCCAGACUUGAUUCUAACUCAUUGGCCAAACUAGUGCUUCUGCACAGGCUUUGGGAGGGACAGUUGGUUAUCAAGAACGAAGAGGUUCCUGACUUUGAAGGAGUGAGUGGCUGGUGUUCAGAUGAAGAAAGACACCUGCCAUAACCAUGGCCUGUGCUCAUCACCAUUAACAAGGACCAGGGCUGG